rnacentral:lncRNA from 1 species
UCAGGAGAGUCGAACGAGACAGGUCUGACGACGGUGGGCGUGGGCUCGGAUCUGGUCAGCGACCGGCGAAGCGACUAGGGAGUCGAAUGAAGUGUUGAGCCCAAUGGGCUCGGAGUUUUGUGGUGGUUCAGAGUCGGAGUUGGGGUGGGGGUGGUUGUUAUCGAAAUUGGGGCAGGGGUUGUCGGAAUUGGGGCGGUGGUUGUCGGCGUCGGAGAGGUCGAUGAAUUCCCAGAGAGAGUCUUGAUCGGAGUCUUCGAAUUGCAAGAAUUGGAGGACGACCCUCGCAACAGGAACCGCCUCCGUCAUCUCCGAUCACCGCUAUGUUAAUUUCUAAUUUGUUAAUUUCUUGAAUUGAUUCUCCUUAAAAUGUCAUCGGUUCAGCGCCAAUCGAGCUCCGGCUCCGACGGAUCUGUGGUGGAUGACAAGAAGAGGAAGAAGAUGCAGUCUAAUCGCGAAUCGGCCUAGCGAUCGCGGAUGAAGAUGCAGAAGCGUGUGGAGGAGCUGACGGCGGAGAUCAGCCGGCUCCAGAUCGAACAGCCAAAUCCGGCAGAGCAUCGACUCCAAGGACAAAGCCUACAGCGAGGUGGAGGCCUGG